UCCCUGGUGGCUUAGACGGUAAAGCGUCUGCCUGCAAUGCAGGAGACCCGGGUACGAUCCCUGGCUUGGGAA
rnacentral:tRNA from 1 species